AUAUCUCUCCUCGGCUCUCUGAGCUAGGAUCAUGUGUAGUAUCUGUUCUUUGCAGUGUCAUUUUUGCAACGGUCUCUAAACUGAGACCAAUGAAACUACCUGUAUUUUUCCCUUACGGACGGGUGCUGUGAGCUUGCUCAACCCCGUCCACGGGUCGGCCUCGUAUUGCAUUACCUCGAGGAUUGGCCCAUUAGUG
rnacentral:snRNA from 1 species